rnacentral:rRNA from 1 species
AUUGAACGCUGGCGGCAGGCCUAACACAUGCAAGUCGAACGAGUGGCGGACGGGUGAGUAAUGUCUGGGAAACUGCCAGAUGGAGGGGGAUAACUACUGGAAACGGUAGCUAAUACCGCAUACCAUCGGAUGUGCCCAGAUGGGAUUAGCUAGUAGGUGGGGUAGCGGCUCACCUAGGCGACGAUCCCUAGCUGGCCUGAGAGGAUGACCAGCCACACUGGAACUGAGACACGGUCCAGACUCCUACGGGAGGCAGCAGUGGGGAAUAUUGCACAAGGGGCGAAAGCCUGAUGCAGCCAUGCCGCGUGUAUGAAGAAGGCCUUCGGAUUGUAAAGUACUUUAAGCGAGGAGGCGUUACCCGCAGAAGAAGCACCGACUAACUCCGUGCCAGCAGCCGCGGUAAUUC